rnacentral:lncRNA from 1 species
AUGAGGUAUUUAUGUUGUAUCUCAGACCCUAUUUUACAUCAUAUGAGGUAUUUAUGUUGUAUCUCAGACCCUAUUUUACAUCAUAUGAGGUAUUUAUGUUGUAUCUCAGACCCUAUUUUACAUCAUAUGAGGUAUUUAUGUUGUAUCUCAGACCCUAUUUUACAUCAUAUGAGGUAUUUAUGUUGUAGACCCUAUUUUACAUCAUAUGAGGUAUUUAUGUUGUAUCUCAGACCCUAUUUUACAUCAUAUGAGGUAUUUAUAUUGUAUCUCAGACCCUAUUUUACAUCAUAUGAGGUAUUUAUGUUAUAUCUCAGACCCUAUUUUACAUCAUAUGAGGUAUUUAUAUUGUAUCUCAGACCCUAUUUUACAUCAUAUGAGGUAUUUAUGUUGUAUCUCAGACCCUAUUUUACAUCAUAUGAGGUAUUUAUGUUGUAUCUCAGACCCUAUUUUACAUCAUAUGAGGUAUUUAUGUUGUAUCCCAGACCCUAUUUUACAUCAUAUGAGGUAUUUAUGUUGUAUCUCAGACCCUAUUUUACAUCAUAUGAGGUAUUUAUGUUGUGUCUCAGACCCUAUUUUACAUCAUAUGAGGUAUUUAUGUUGUAUCUCAGACCCUAUUUUACAUCAUAUGAGGUAUUUAUGUUGUAUCUCAGACCCUAUUUUACAUCAUAUGAGGUAUUUAUGUUGUAUCUCAGACCCUAUUUUACAUCAUAUGAGGUAUUUAUGUUGUAUCUCAGACCCUAUUUUACAUCAUAUGAGGUAUUUAUGUUGUAUCUCAGACCCUAUUUUACAUCAUAUGAGGUAUUUAUGUUGUAUCUCAGACCCUAUUUUACAUCAUAUGAGGUAUUUAUGUUGUAUCUCAGACCCUAUUUUACAUCAUAUGAGGUAUUUAUGUUGUAUCUCAGACCCUAUUUUACAUCAUAUGAGGUAUUUAUGUUGUAUCUUAGACCCUAUUUUACAUCAUAUGAGGUAUUUAUGUUGUAUCUCAGACCCUAUUUUACAUCAUUUGAGGUAUUUAUGUUGUAUCUCAGACCCUAUUUUACAUCAUAUGAGGUAUUUAUGUUGUAUCUCAGACCCUAUUUUACAUCAUAUGAGGUAUUUAUGUUGUAUCUCAGACCCUAUUUUACAUCAUAUGAGGUAUUUAUGUUGUAUCUCAGACCCUAUUUUACAUCAUAUGAGGUAUUUAUGUUGUAUCUCAGACCCUAUUUUACAUCAUAUGAGGUAUUUAUGUUGUAUCUCAGAUCCUAUUUUACAUCAUAUGAGGUAUUUAUGUUGUAUCUCAGACCCUAUUUUACAUCAUAUGAGGUAUUUAUGUUGUAUCUCAGACCCUAUUUUACAUCAUAUGAGGUAUUUAUGUUAUAUCUCAGACCCUAUUUUACAUCAUAUGAGGUAUUUAUAUUGUAUCUCAGACCCUAUUUUACAUCAUAUGAGGUAUUUAUGUUGUAUCUCAGACCCUAUUUUACAUCAUAUGAGGUAUUUAUGUUGUAUCUCAGACCCUAUUUUACAUCAUAUGAGGUAUUUAUGUUGUAUCUCAGACCCUAUUUUACAUCAUUUGAGGUAUUUAUGUUGUAUCCCAGACCCUAUUUUACAUCAUAUGAGGUAUUUAUGUUGUAUCUCAGACCCUAUUUUACAUCAUUUGAGGUAUUUAUGUUGUAUCUCAGACCCUAUUUUACAUCAUAUGAGGUAUUUAUGUUGUAUCUCAGACCCUAUUUUACAUCAUAUGAGGUAUUUAUGUUGUAUCUUAGACCCUAUUUUACAUCAUAUGAGGUAUUUAUGUUGUAUCUCAGACCCUAUUUUACAUCAUAUGAGGUAUUUAUGUUGUAUCUCAGACCCUAUUUUACAUCAUAUGAGGUAUUUAUGUUGUAUCUCAGACCCUAUUUUACAUCAUAUGAGGUAUUUAUGUUGUAUCUCAGACCCUAUUUUACAUCAUAUGAGGUAUUUAUGUUGAAUCUCAGACCCUAUUUUACAUCAUAUGAGGUAUUUAUGUUGAAUCUCAGACCCUAUUUUACAUCAUAUGAGGUAUUUAUGUUGUAUCUCAGACCCUAUUUUACAUCAUAUGAGGUAUUUAUGUUGUAUCUCAGACCCUAUUUUACAUCAUAUGAGGUAUUUAUGUUGAAUCUCAGACCCUAUUUUACAUCAUAUGAGGUAUUUAUGUUGAAUCUCAGACCCUAUUUUACAUCAUAUGAGGUAUUUAUGUUGUAUCUCAGACCCUAUUUUGCAUCAUAUGAGGUAUUUAUGUUGUGCCCGUCAUCAGUUGAGACACAGCAUACUCUUGAAUACAGGGUGGGUGUCAUUUCAAUCAUAGAAGUAGAAUUCAUAGAAUGUACAUUUCCAUUAAGACCACUACAAUUUAGCUGGUACACCAUGACAUUUAAAUUGAGUAGAAACUUUAACUUCCAAUUACCAGAUGGCCGCCAGUCCACCCAGCAUCGAAUGUCAACUUGA